rnacentral:rRNA from 1 species
AUUGAACGCUGGCGGCAGGCCUAACACAUGCAAGUCGAGCGAGCGGCGGACGGGUGAGUAAUGUAUGGGGACUGCCCGAUAGAGGGGGAUAACUACUGGAAACGGUAGCUAAUACCGCAUACUAUCGGAUAACCCAUAUGGGAUUAGCUAGUAGGUGAGGUAAUGGCUCACCUAGGCGACGAUCCCUAGCGGGUCUGAGAGGAUGAUCAGCCACACUGGGACUGAGCAACGGCCAAGACCCUUACGGAGGAAGAAUUGGGGAAUAUGGAACAAGGGGCGAAAGCCUGAUGCACCCAUGCCGGGUGGAUGAAGAAGGCCCCAGGGUUGUAAAGUACUUUAAGUCGGGAGGCGUUACCGACAGAAGAAGCACCGGCUAACUCCGUGCCAGCCGCCGCGGUAAUC